rnacentral:rRNA from 1 species
AUUGAACGCUGGCGGCAGGCCUAACACAUGCAAGUCGAACGAGUGGCGGACGGGUGAGUAAUGUCUGGGAAACUGCCUGAUGGAGGGGGAUAACUACUGGAAACGGUAGCUAAUACGGCAUACCAUCAGAUGUACCCAGAUGUGAUUAGCUAGUUGGUGGGGUAACGGCUCACAAAGGCGACGAUCCCUAGCUGGUCUGAGGGGAUGACCCGCCACACUGGAAUUGAGACACGGUCCGAACCCCUACGGGAGGCAGCAGUGGGGAAUAUUGGACAAUGGGCGCAAGCCUGAUGCAGCCAUGCCGCGUGUAUGAAGAGGGCCUUCGGGUUGUAAAGUACUUUCAGCGGGGAGGCGUUACCCGCAGAAGAAGCACCGGCUAACUCCGUGCCAGCAGCCGCGGUAAUAC